CCAGGAGUAUGCGUACUCGGCGGCCAGAGGUGAAAUUCUUAGACCCGCUGAAGACGAACAGCUGCGAAGGCGUUUACUNGAGAUGCUUUCAUUAAUCNAGAACCGAAGUUGGGGGAUUGAAGACGAUCAGANACCGUCGUAGUCUCAACCGUAAACUGUGCCAACAAGCUGUCAGAAGAUUCCUUUCUUUGGGUCUUUUGGUGGCUUUCGAGAAAUCAAAGUCUUUGGGUUCUGGGGGGAGUAUUGUCGCAAGUCUGAAACUUAAAGGAAUUGACGGAAGGGCACCACAAGGUGUGGAGCUUGCGGCUUAAUUUGACUCAACGCGGGAAAACUUACCAGGGCCGGACAAAAGUAGGAUUGACAGGUCUGAAGUUCUUUCAUGAUUUUUUGGUUAGUGGUGCAUGGCCGUUCUUAGUUGGUGGAGUGAUUUGUCAGGUUAAUUCCGGUAACGAACGAGACUUUGGCCUGCUAAUUGACGCCUUUGCCGUGGCAAAGCUCUGUCACUUAGAGGGACUUUGUAAUUUCAACGCAAGGAAGCUCGAAGCUAUAACAGGUCUGUGGUGCCCUUAGAUGUCCUGGGCUGCACGCGCGCUACAUUGGUAAAAGCAAAGUGAGUUCGCUUCUAAAGAAGCGGCAAAGCGUUGCAAACUUUAUCUUCUUGGGGACUGACGCUUGAAAUUGUUUGUCACUAACGAGGAAUACCUUGUAAAUGCAGGUCAACAUCCUGCUUUGAAUACGUCCCUGCCCUUUGUACACACCGCCCGUCGCCUCAAUCGACUGAACAUUUUGGUGAAUUUUCCGGAGGAACUAGGAGGGGCAACUCUCUAAGCUUCCAAUGUUUUGUGAACCGUCAUGUUUGAAGAAUGAGAAAGUCGUAACACGGUAUCUGUAGGUGAACCUGCAGAAGGAUCA
rnacentral:rRNA from 1 species